rnacentral:rRNA from 1 species
AUUGAACGCUGGCGGCAUGCCUUACACAUGCAAGUCGAACGGUAACAGGUCUUCGGAUGCUGACGAGUGGCGAACGGGUGAGUAAUACAUCGGAACGUACCCAGACGUGGGGGAUAACGAGGCGAAAGCUUUGCUAAUACCGCAUACGAUCUAAGGAUGAAAGCAGGGGACCGCAAGGCCUUGCGCGUUUGGAGCGGCCGAUGGCAGAUUAGGUAGUUGGUGGGAUAAAAGCUUACCAAGCCGACGAUCUGUAGCUGGUCUGAGAGGACGACCAGCCACACUGGGACUGAGACACGGCCCAGACUCCUACGGGAGGCAGCAGUGGGGAAUUUUGGACAAUGGGCGAAAGCCUGAUCCAGCAAUGCCGCGUGCAGGAUGAAGGCCUUCGGGUUGUAAACUGCUUUUGUACGGAACGAAAAGGCUCUGGCUAAUACCUGGGGCACAUGACGGUACCGUAAGAAUAAGCACCGGCUAACUACGUG